rnacentral:rRNA from 1 species
UACGGAGGGUGCAAACGUUGCUCGGAAUCAUUGGGCGUAAGGCGCACGUAGGCGGCCUGUUAAGUCGGAUGUGAAAGCCCCGGGCUCAACUCGGGAAGUGCAUUCGAAACUGACAGGCUUGAAUAUGGAAGAGGGUCGCGGAAUUCCCGGUGUAGAGGUGAAAUUCGUAGAUAUCGGGAGGAACACCAGUGGCGAAGGCGGCGACCUGGGCCAAUAUUGACGCUGAGGUGCGAAAGCGUGGGGAGCAAACAGG